GCCGGUAUAGCUCAGUUGGUAGAGCAUCGGAUUUGUAAUCCGAGGGUCGCGGGUUCAAAUCCUGCUGCCGGCACCA
rnacentral:tRNA from 1 species